UCCUUUACCCCUGGAAUCCUGGCUGCUUCUCUCAGUUUGGCAGUCACGGCCCUUCUGUUUGUGAAUCUUCGCCGGCUCUGUCCUUUCCGACACCCGCCCGCUGUGUGCUCUGUGGACAUCUGGGCACGGGUCCAGGGCCUGGCGUUGGAGGCCCAAAUUCAGCUUUAUGCAGCAUUGGGGGCUGUAUGUCCAAGAGAAGUCCUGCUAUUGGAGCCUGGGACAAGGAUUUAACGAGCUUGUUUGGUCUAAAUCUGGAGGCAGAGGUCAGUGGCAGCAGGACAUCCGUCCCCCCUUGGGACUGCCCAGCCACUGACGGCAGAGGCUGGACCCGACAGGAGCAAUGCAGUGCACGGUGGCUGUCCCAGGCUGGAUGUGGACAUGCCAUUCUAGAUCACUUCAAGUGAUGUGAAGAGUUGAAAGGUAUGGAUCCCGCCCACCCCUGCCCACCAUCAUAAGAGUUUAAAACCAGAAGAACUCUGAGCCUGGAAUUGGACCGAGAGAUGGUGUGCACGAUCAUACGCAAUGUAAGCAGUUGCGAGCACUCUUCCAGAAGAUGGUAAAAGAACAGAGAGAAGGCUUCAUCCCCAAAGCUAGUUAAACGAUGGAGGUCGAUACACAAACACAUGUGUAUUAAUAAAAACCAUCAAACAUGGCUUCAAACUGAAAGAUGAAGGGCCUCCAGCAUCAAACCUUCCCAAGGGGCCCUGGGUGAGGCAAGCUUCUGGUCUGUGUGCUUCUCAAUCAUUUCCCUCUCCUUCACCUCCUCUUCCCUCCCUAGUGCACCCCAAUCUUCCUGUGGGAGUCCCCACUGAAGGGACCCCACUAAGGUUACCAGUGGUGCCCUUGUGGCCAUACCUCAUGGGCACUUGUUGGUAAUUUUCUUGCUUGGCCUCCGAAGAAUUGAUGCUGCCUUUUGGACCCUCUCUCCUCUCUCGAUGGCCUAUGGAACUAUUCUUGCAAUGUCCCCACCAUACCUCUGACUGCUCCUUCUUGGUUGUCUGAGUGUGUCCCUCUACACCCUCUUGCUCCUAAACCCUUGCAGUUCCCCCCACUUAUGUCCCACCUUCUGUUCUUUUCUCACCAUCCUCUCCUCCACCUGUGCCUUCAACCUGUAUCCUGGUGACCCGCAAGGCUCAUCUCUUGCCCCAAUUUUCUUCCUGACUCCAGAACCACAGGGCCAUUAGCUUAUGAGACUUUGGCCCUCAGACACUGUACAGACACCUCCAGUUCAAUGUGUCCAGAAUAGAACUUGUCACCUUCUCCUACAAACCUGUUUCUUGCUCCACUCCACUCCUCCACUUCCAAUCAGUCCCCAAAUCCUGGGAAGGAGGGCAGUGGCUUACAGAAUAUCUCCUAAAUCUCUCUCCUGGGUUUCAUGCCCUAACACUGUCCUAGCUGAGACCUUGCCAUUUCUUACCUGGAUUCCUGCAAUCACCUCCGAUCCCACCUUCCCUCUCUCUGCCUUCUCUGUGCCGUGGUCAUAGUGACAUGGCCUCCCUGCUUAAACCCUCCAGAGUCUCCCAUCAAGGUCAGAAUAAAUUCAAAGAUGCAGGAGUAACACAUGAGGUAUUGCCUGAUUUGGCCCCACCUCACCUUAGCUGCAAUAAGGCUCCAAGUCCAAGCUCCUCCACUUACUGGCUGUGUGACUUUGGGCAAAUAACUUAACCUCUCUGUGUCUUAUUCUCUCCAUAUACAAAGCAAACAAUGAUUCUAACGUCUGUUAUGACAAUGCAAUGAAAAAUGCACAUGGGUGCUUAAUACUGUGCCUGGCAUAUAGUGGACUGUCAUUGACACUCUCAUCUUUGUGGAGAAGUCGCCAUCCCCACACUCCAGAUACACCAUGGCCCCAAACUUGAAGGAUCUCUUGUUAUUUCCCCCGCAUGGGUCAGCCUGUUACCUCUUCCUCUGCCUGAAAUUCCCUUCCUCUUCCU